rnacentral:rRNA from 1 species
CCUACGGGUUGCAGCAGUAGGGAAUCUUCGGCAAUGGACGAAAGUCUGACCGAGCAACGCCGCGUGAGUGAAGAAGGUUUUCGGAUCGUAAAACUCUGUUGUUAGAGAAGAACAAGGACGUUAGUAACUGAACGUCCCCUGACGGUAACUAACCAGAAAGCCACGGCUAACUACGUGCCAGCAGCCGCGGUAAUACGUAGGUGGCAAGCGUUGUCCGGAUUUAUUGGGCGUAAAGCGAGCGCAGGCGGUUUCUUAAGUCUGAUGUGAAAGCCCCCGGCUCAACCGGGGAGGGUCAUUGGAAACUGGGAGACUUGAGUGCAGAAGAGGAGAGUGGAAUUCCAUGUGUAGCGGUGAAAUGCGUAGAUAUAUGGAGGAACACCAGUGGCGAAGGCGGCUCUCUGGUCUGUAACUGACGCUGAGGCUCGAAAGCGUGGGGAGCAAACGGGAUUAGAUACCCUCGUAGUC